rnacentral:rRNA from 1 species
GCAAGUCGAACGGUAACAUUGAAGCUUGCUUCAGAUGACGAGUGGCGCACGGGUGCGUAACGCGUAUACAAUCUACCUUUUACAGGGAGAUAGCCUUUAGAAAUGAAGAAUAAUACCCCAUAACAUAUAGAUUUGGCAUCAGAUCUAAAUUAAAGAUUUAUCGGUAAGAGAUGAGUAUGCGUUCUAUUAGCUAGUAGGUAAGGUAACGGCUUACCUAGGCAACGAUAGAUAGGGGCCCUGAGAGGGGGAUCCCCCACACUGGUACUGAGACACGGACCAGACUCCUACGGGAGGCAGCAGUGAGGAAUAUUGGACAAUGGGCGCAAGCCUGAUCCAGCCAUGCCGCGUGCAGGAAGACUGCCCUAUGGGUUGUAAACUGCUUUUAUACAGGAAGAACCCCCUUUACGAGUAGAGGGCUGACGGUACUGUAAGAAUAAGCAUCGGCUAACUCCGUGCCAGCAGCCGCGGUAAUACGGAGGAUGCGAGCGUUAUCCGGAAUCAUUGGGUUUAAAGGGUCCGUAGGUGGAUUAAUAAGUCAGAGGUGAAAUCCUGCAGCUCAACUGUAGAACUGCCUUUGAUACUGUUAAUCUUGAAUUAUUGUGAAGUAGUUAGAAUAUGUAGUGUAGCGGUGAAAUGCAUAGAUAUUACAUAGAAUACCAAUUGCGAAGGCAGAUUACUAACAAUAUAUUGACACUGAUGGACGAAAGCGUGGGGAGCGAACGGGAUU